rnacentral:rRNA from 1 species
AUUGAACGCUGGCGGCAGGCCUAACACAUGCAAGUCGAACGGUAACAGAAAGCAGCUUGCUGCUUUGCUGACGAGUGGCGGACGGGUGAGUAAUGUCUGGGAAACUGCCUGAUGGAGGGGGAUAACUACUGGAAACGGUAGCUAAUACCGCAUAACGUCGCAAGACCAAAGAGGGGGACCUUCGGGCCUCUUGCCAUCGGAUGUGCCCAGAUGGGAUUAGCUAGUAGGUGGGGUAACGGCUCACCUAGGCGACGAUCCCUAGCUGGUCUGAGAGGAUGACCAGACACACUAGAACUGAGACACGGUCCAGACUCCUACGGGAGGCAGCAGUGGGGAAUAUUGCACAAUGGGCGCAAGCCUGAUGCAGCCAUGCCGCGUGUAUGAAGAAGGCCUUCGGGUUGUAAAGUACUUUCAGCGGGGAGGAAGGGAGUAAAGUUAAUACCUUUGCUCAUUGACGUUACCCGCAGAAGAAGCACCGGCUAACUCCGUG